rnacentral:rRNA from 1 species
AUGCUAUUUCAGUAUAUUUGUAGCAGAGAUGUUAACAUUGACGAACAGAAGGCAUGCAAGGAGAAUCUAACAGGUGCUCACAAACAAAUCCUCGCCCCACGCCUACCGAAGCGCGAAGCAGAGCAUAGCUCGCGGAGGCUGGUGGCGCUUACCGAAUUUGGCGAGGAGGAAGGAGAGGGCGAGCCCGACGGGCCCGGCCCCGACGAUGACCACCGGCAGAUGCGGCGCGUGGCCGCCACCGCCGCCGGCGAGGGAGGAGAGGAGCGGGCGCUGGAGGCGGCGGAGGCGCAGCCAGGAGAUGCCCCUGCCCGCGGAGAAGAGGCGCCAGCCUCCUCCGGCGGCGAUCGACGGCAUCGUGGCCUCGGCGGUGGCCGCGCAGGCUGCCGCGGUCUGCGAGAGGGGGUUGUGGGUUUAGAACGCGGACACGAGUACGAAAAAGCAGUUGGGCCGAUGGAAGUUGAGCGAUGGCGUGUUCGGUAG